rnacentral:rRNA from 1 species
CAUGCGAGUCGAAUGUAGCAAUACAUGGCGUACUGCUCAGUAACACGUGGAUAACCUACCCUUGAGAUGGGGAUAAACCCGGGAAACUGGGUAUAAUACCCAAUAGAUCUCGACUGCUGGAAUGCAUCGAGCUCCAAAGCUCCGGCGCUCAAGGAUGGAUCUGCGGCCUAUCAGGUAGUAGUGGGUGUAGCGUACCUACUAGCCUACGACGGGUACGGGUUGUGAGAGCAAGAGCCCGGAGAUGGAUUCUGAGACACGAAUCCAGGCCCUACGGGGUGCAGCAGGCGCGAAAACUUUACAAUGCUGGAAACAGCGAUAAGGGGACCUCGAGUGCCAGGUUACAAAUCUGGCUGUCGUGAUGCCUAAAAAGCAUUGCAUAGCAAGGGCCGGGCAAGACCGGUGCCAGCCGCCGCGGUAACACCGGCGGCUCGAGUGGUAACCGUUAUUAUUGGGUCUAAAGGGUCUGUAGCCGGCCGGAUAAGUCUCUUGGGAAAUCUGGCAGCUUAACUGUCAGGCUUUCAGGAGAUACUGUCUGGCUCGAGGCCGGGAGAGGUGAGAGGUACUUCAGGGGUAGGGGUGAAAUCUUGUAAUCCUUGAAGGACCACCAGUGGCGAAGGCGUCUCACCAGAACGGACCUGACGGCAAGGGACGAAAGCUAGGGGCACGAACCGGAUUAGAUACCCGGGUAGUCCUAGCCGUAAACGAUACUCGCUAGGUGUCGGCAACGGUGCGACCGUUGUCGGUGCCGUAGGGAAGCCGUGAAGCGAGCCACCUGGGAAGUACGGCCGCAAGGCUGAAACUUAAAGGAAUUGGCGGGGGAGCACCACAACGGGUGGAGCUUGCGGUUUAAUUGGAGUCAACGCCGGAAA